rnacentral:rRNA from 1 species
UUCGCAAUGCCCGAAAGGGUGACGGUGCGACGCCGCGUGAGCGAAGAAGGCCCUAGGGUUGUAAAGCUCUGUCGAGGGUUAUGAAAUAUAGAUGGGUUAAUACCCCAUUUAUUUGACAAAAGCCCAAAAGGAAGCCACGGCUAACUCUGUGCCAGCAACCGCGGUAAUACAGAGGUGGCGAGCGUUGUUCGGUAUUAUUGGGCGUAAAGAGCACGUAGGUGGUUUUGUAAGUCAGGUGUGAAAGCCUUCUGUUCAAAGGAAGAACGGCAUCUGAAACUGCAGACCUCGAGUGUAGGAGGGGAGAGUGGAACUUCUGGUGGAGCGGUGAAAUGCGUAGAUAUCAGAAGGAACGUCGGCGGCGAAAGCGACUCUCUGGCCUAUUACUGACACUGAGUGUGCGAAAGUUAGGGGAGCAAACGGGAUUAGAUACCCCGGUAGUCCUAACCGUAAACGAUGGGCACUAAGUAGAGGGGUUUU